GAUGAACGCUGGCGGCGUGCCUAAUACAUGCAAGUCGAGCGAUGAGGCUCCUUCGGGAGUACAUCAGCGGCGAACGGGUGAGUAACACGUAGGUGACUUGCCCCGAAGAUGGGGAUAACCUCUGGAAACGGGGGCUAAUACCCAAUGUGCUCGGUGAUUCGGUUGAUCGAGUAAAGCUCCGGCGCUUCGGGAGAGGCCUGCGGCCCAUCAGCUAGUUGGUAGGGUAACGGCCUACCAAGGCAGAGACGGGUAGGGGGCGUGAGAGCGCGGACCCCCACACUGGCACUGCGACACGGGCCAGACUCCUACGGGAGGCAGCAGUAAGGAAUAUUGCGCAAUGGACGAAAGUCAGACGCAGCGACGCCGCGUGGGCGAUGAAGGCCUUCGGGUUGUAAAGCCCUUUUACGGGGGAAGAGAAAAAGGACGGUACCCCAUGAAUAAGUCCCGGCUAACUACGUGCCAGCAGCCGCGGUAAAACGUAGGGGACAAGCGUUAUCCGGAUUCACUGGGCGUAAAGAGCGUUGAGGCGGUUCCGUAAGUUGGGCGUGAAAGCUCCGGGCUUAACCCGGAGAUGUCGUUCAAUACUGCGGGGCUUGAGGACAGCAGAGGAAGGUGGAAUUCCCGGUGUAGUGGUGAAAUGCGUAGAUAUCGGGAGGAACACCCGUGGCGAAGCGCCUUCUGGGCUGUUCCUGACGCUGAAGCGAAAGCUAGGGGAGCGAACCGGAUUAGAUACCCCGGUAGUCCUAGCUGUUAACGAUGAUG
rnacentral:rRNA from 1 species